UACAGAGGUCUCAAGCGUUGUUCGGAUUCAUUGGGCGUAAAGGGUGCGUAGGCGGCGCGGUAAGUCGGAUGUGAAAUCUCGGAGCUUAACUUCGAAACUGCAUUCGAUACUGCCGGUGCUUGAGGACUGGAGAGGAGACUGGAAUUUACGGUGUAGCGGUGAAAUGCGUAGAUAUCGUAAGGAAGACCAGUGGCGAAGGCGGGGUCUCUGGACAGUUCCUGACGGCUGGAGGCACGAAGGCCAGGGGAGCAAACGGG
rnacentral:rRNA from 1 species